rnacentral:rRNA from 1 species
GAUGAACGCUCGCGGCAGGCCUAACACAUGCAAGUCGAGGGAGAGGUUACCUUCGGGUAACCAAAACCGGCGCACGGGUGCGUAACGCGUAUACAAUCUGCCUUUCACAUAGGGAUAGCCCGAAGAAAUUUGGAUUAAUACCUAAUGGUAUAUAAGAGCGGCAUCGUUUUUAUAUUAAAGCUACGGUGGUGAAAGAUGAGUAUGCGUUCUAUUAGCUAGUUGGAGAGGUAACGGCUCCCCAAGGCGACGAUAGAUAGGGGUUCUGAGAGGGAUGUCCCCCACACUGGUACUGAGAUACGGACCAGACUCCUACGGGAGGCAGCAGUGAGGAAUAUUGGGCAAUGGUCGGAAGACUGAUCCAGCCAUGCCGCGUGCAGGAGGAAGGUCCUAUGGAUUGUAAACUGCUUUUGUAAGGGAAGAAUAAGGAGUACGUGUACUUUGAUGACGGUACCUUACGAAUAAGCAUCGGCUAACUCCGUG